AACGAACGCUGGCGGCAUGCCUAACACAUGCAGGUCGAACGAUGCCUUCGGGCAUAGUGGCGCACGGGUGCGUAACGCGUGGGAAUCUGCCCUUGGCUUCGGAAUAACAGUUAGAAAUGACUGCUAAUACCGGAUGAUGUCUUCGGACCAAAGAUUUAUCGGCCAGGGAUGAGCCCGCGUAGGAUUAGGUAGUUGGUGGGGUAAAGGCCUACCAAGCCGACGAUCCUUAGCUGGUCUGAGAGGAUGAUCAGCCACACUGGGACUGAGACACGGCCCAGACUCCUACGGGAGGCAGCAGUGGGGAAUAUUGGACAAUGGGGGGAACCCUGAUCCAGCAAUGCCGCGUGAGUGAUGAAGGCCUUAGGGUUGUAAAGCUCUUUUACCAGGGAUGAUAAUGACAGUACCUGGAGAAUAAGCUCCGGCUAACUCCGUGCCAGCCGCCGCGGUAA
rnacentral:rRNA from 1 species